AUACGUAGGUGACAAGCGUUAUCCGGAUUUACUGGGCGUAAAGGGCGUGUAGGCGGUCUUGCAAGUCAGAAGUGAAAUUCCUGAGCUCAACUCGGGCGCUGCUUCUGAAACUGCAGGACUUGAGUGCUGGAGGGGAUAGCGGAAUUCCUAGUGGAGCGGUAAAAUGCGCAGAUAUUAGGAAGAACACCGGUGGCGAAGGCGGUUAUCUGGACAGUAACUGACGCUGAGGCGCGAAAGCGUGGGGAGCAAACAGGAUUAGAUGCCCUGGUAUUCCACUCCGUAAACGAUGAAUACUAGGUGUAGGGGGUAUCGACUCCCUCUGUGCCGCAGUUAACACAAUAAGUAUUCCGCCUGGGGAGUACGGCCGCAAGGUUGAAACUCAAAGGAAUUGACGGG
rnacentral:rRNA from 1 species